rnacentral:rRNA from 1 species
UACCAGCACCCCGAGUGGUCGGGACGAUUAUUGGGCCUAAAGCAUCCGUAGCCGGUUUUACAAGUCCUCCGUUAAAUCCAGCUGCUUAACAGAUGGCUGCGGAGGAUACUAUAAGACUAGGAGGCAGGAGAGGCAAGCGGUACUCAGUGGGUAGGGGUAAAAUCCGUUGAUCCAUUGAAGACCACCAGUGGCGAAGGCGGCUUGCCAGAAUGCGCUCGACGGUGAGGGAUGAAAGCUGGGGGGAGCAAACCGG